rnacentral:rRNA from 1 species
CCUACGGGUGGCAGCAGUGGGGGAUAUUGCACAAUGGGGGAAACCCUGAUGCAGCGACGCCGCGUGGGUGAAGAAGCGCCUCGGCGCGUAAAGCCCUGUCAGCAGGGAAGAAAAUGACGGUACCUGAAGAAAAAGCAUCGGCUAACUCCGUGCCAGCAGCCGCGGUAAUACGGAGGCUGCGCGCGUUAUCCGGAUUUAUGGGGUUUAAAGUGUGCGAAGGCGGAGGCACAAGUCAGCGGUAAAAUCGCGGGGCUCAACCCCGCUCCGCCGUUGAAACUGGGUGCCUUGAGUGCGCGAAGGGUAGGCGGAAUGCGUGGUGUAGCGGUGAAAUGCAUAGAUAUCACGCAGAACUCCGAUCGCGAAGGCAGCCUACCGGCGCGCAACUGACGCUGAUGCACGAAAGCGUGGGUAUCGAACAGGAUUAGAUACCCCAGUAGUC